CCACUCUCAGAGUCGCACCUGGAGAGUUAGCGGUAUUCAACCAUUCUCGACUAUGGGAGGGAAAGUCAAGCAGAGGCAUAUCCAUUCCAUUCCUAGCUUGGGCAGCAGCUAGCGAGUGGAAGGCAAUCUGCAACAAGU